rnacentral:rRNA from 1 species
UACAGAGGGUGCAAGCGUUGUUCGGAAUUAUUGGGCGUAAAGCGCGUGUAGGCGGCUUUGUAAGUCGAAUGUGAAAGCCCUCGGCUUAACCGAGGAAGUGCAUUCGAUACUGCCGAGCUUGAGUACCGGAGAGGAGGGUGGAACACCCGGUGUAGAGGUGAAAUUCGUAGAUAUCGGGUAGAACACCAGUGGCGAAGGCGACCUUCUGGGCGGAUACUGACGCUGAGACGCGAAAGCGUGGGGAGCAAACAGG